rnacentral:rRNA from 1 species
CCCUUAGAUGUCCUGGGCCGCACGCGCGCUACACUGAUGCAUUCAACGAGUUUUACCUUGGCCGAGAGGCCUGGGCAAUCUUUUAAACCUGCAUCGUGACGGGGAUAGAUUAUUGCAAUUAUUAAUCUUCAACGAGGAAUGCCUAGUAGGCGCAAGUCAUCAGCUUGCGUCGAUUACGUCCCUGCCCUUUGUACACACCGCCCGUCGCUCCUACCGAUUGGGUGUGCUGGUGAAAUGUUCGGAUCGGCCGUUUGUCGCGGUUUCCGCGUCAUGUGGCUGAGAAGUUCAUUAAACCCUCCCACCUAGAGGAAGGAGAAGUCGUAACA